rnacentral:rRNA from 1 species
UGAGGAAUAUUGGUCAAUGGGCGAGAGCCUGAACCAGCCAAGUCGCGUGAAGGAAGACUGCCCGCAAGGGUUGUAAACUUCUUUUGUAUGGGAUUAAAGUCGCCUACGUGUAGGUGUUUGCAGUUACCAUACGAAUAAGCAUCGGCUAACUCCGUGCCAGCAGCCGCGGUAAUACGGAGGAUGCGAGCGUUAUCCGGAAUCAUUGGGCGUAAAGGGUACGUAGGCGGGUAAGCAAGUUAGAAGUGAAAUCCUGUAGCUCAACUACAGUAAGCUUUUAAAACUGCUCAUCUUGAGAUAUGGAAGGGAAAGUGGAAUUCCUAGUGUAGCGGUGAAAUGCGCAGAUAUUAGGAGGAAUACCGGUGGCGAAGGCGACUUUCUGGUCUGUAACUGACGCUGAUGUGCGAAAGCGUGGGGAUCAAACAGG